GACGUAGGGGGCGAGCGUUGUCCGGAUUUAUUGGGCGUAAAGCGUGCGUAGGCGGCUGCGCAAGUCGGGUGUGAAACCCCGGGGCUCAACCCCGGAACUGCAUCCGAUACUGCGUGGCUAGAGGUAGGUAGGGGAGAUCGGAAUUCCUGGUGUAGCGGUGAAAUUCGUAGAUAUCAGGAGGAACACCGGUGGCGAAAGCGGCUUCCUGGCCCGACACUGACGCUCAUGUACGAAAGCGUGGGGAGCAAACAGG
rnacentral:rRNA from 1 species